UGGGGAAUAUUGCGCAAUGGGCGAAAGCCUGACGCAGCCAUACCGCGUGUGUGAAGAAGGCCUUCGGGUUGUAAAGCACUUUCAGUGGGGAGGAAAAGCGGGUGGCUAAUAUCCAUCGGCCGUGACGCUACCCACAGAAGAAGCACCGGCUAAUUCCGUGCCAGCAGCCGCGGUAAUACGGAAGGUGCGAGCGUUAAUCGGAAUUACUGGGCGUAAAGCGCACGUAGGUGGCUUGGUAAGUCGGAUGUGA
rnacentral:rRNA from 1 species